rnacentral:rRNA from 1 species
CACCUCUAGCAUUACAAGUAUUAGAGGCAUCGCCUGCCCAGUGACUGUAGUUAAACGGCCGCGGUAUACUGACCGUGCAAAGGUAGCAUAAUCACUUGUUCCUUAAUUAGGGACUUGUAUGAACGGCUGAACGAGGGUCCAACUGUCUCUUAUUUUUAAUCAGUGAAAUUGACCUUCCAGUGAAGAGGCUGGAAUUACUAAAUAAGACGAGAAGACCCUAUGGAGCUUAAAUUUAUAAACUUAUUUAUUAUAAUAGUACUCCUAAUGGAACAAAAACAGUAUUAUAAGCUUAAAAUUUCGGUUGGGGUGACCUCGGAGAACAAAAAAUCCUCCGAACGAUUAUAACAUAGACCAACAAGUCAAAGUAACUUACUUUCCAAUUGACCCAAAAAUAAUUUGAUCAACGGACCAAGUUACCCUAGGGAUAACAGCGCAAUCCUAUUUAAGAGUUCAUAUCGACAAUAGGGUUUACGACCUCGAUGUUGGAUCAGGACAUCCCAAUGGUGCAGAAGCUAUUAAUGGUUCGUUUGUUCAACGAUUAAA